rnacentral:rRNA from 1 species
AGCCCGCUCAGAAACUUAAAGGAAUUGACGGGGCCGCACAAGCGGUGGAGCAUGUGGUUUAAUUCGAUGAUACGCGAGGAACCUUACCUGGGCUCGAACGUAAGAUGACUGUAGGUGAAAGCUUACAUCUCUUCGGAGCAUUUUACGAGGUGCUGCAUGGUUGUCGUCAGCUCGUGCCGUGAGGUGUCGGGUUAAGUCCCAUAACGAGCGCAACCCCUACCUUUAGUUGCCAUCAGGUAAUGCUGGGGACUCUAAAGGAACUGCCUACGCAAGUAGUGAGGAAGGCGGGGAUGACGUCAAAUCAGCACGGCCCUUACGUCCAGGGCUACACACGUGCUACAAUGGCCGAUACAGAGGGCAGCUACCUGGUGACAGGAUGCAAAUCUCCAAAGUCGGUCUCAGUUCGGAUCGGAGUCUGCAACCCGACUCCGUGAAGUUGGAUUCGCUAGUAAUCGCGCAUCAGCCAUGGCGCGGUGAAUACGUUCCCGGGCCUU